AUAGAAGACAAUUAAAAAAUUGGAUCAUGUGAAUCCACCUGGCUGUUCUAGAGGAAAAACAGGCACUGAGGACCAUUGAAGAUUUUUUAAGAAGAAAUGACCUGACCAGAGCUAGCAUAAACUGGCGGCUGAGAGCCUAGAAAGAGAAACCAGCCAGGAGCCAAUGAGGCCUGAAAGAGUAGAGCAGGAAACAAAAUGUAAAGAAGGAAUCGUAUUUGUAAAACAUAGAAGUAGAAUCAGAAGAACUCAGUACUGCUCAAAUGUUGAGAGUAUGGAAGAGAGAAAAGUCUGAAAAAGGAGAUGAUGAGUCAAAGGUUUGAAACUUCUACCAACAGGUUCUUCAUCGUUGGAGUCUGAUAUCGUUUGAAUGUUUGUUCCCUCCAAAUCUUAGGUUGAAAUAUAAUCCUCAGACCAGGCAUGGCGGCUCACACCUGUAAUCCCAGCACUUUGGGAGACCGAGGCAGGAGGAUUGCUUGAAGCCAAAAGAGUUCAAGACCAGCCUGGGCAACAUAGCAAGACCCACCUCUAUUAAAAAAAAAAAUUAAAAUAUUAGCCAGGUGCGGUGGCCUGUGCCUGUAGUCUCAGCUUCUUGGGAGGCUGAGGAGGGAGAAUCACUUAAGCCCAGGAGUUCAAGGCUGCAGUUGAGGUAUGAUCCCACCACUGCACUCCAGCCUGGGCAACAGAGUGAGACACUUGUCUCAAAAAAGUAAGAGAAAUUGAAUCUCCAAAGUUGGAAGUGAGGCCUGGUGGGAGGUGUUUGGGUCAUGGGGGUGGAUCCCUCAUGAACGGCUAGGCUCCUUCUUCCUGGUAAUGAGUGAGUCCUCGCUCUGAAUUCAUGCAAGCUCUGGUUGUUUAAAGAGCCUGGCACCUCCUCCUUCUCUCUCUUGCUCCCUCUUGCUAUGUGACAUGCCUGCUCCCACUUUACCUUCCUCCAUGAGUAAAAGCUCCCUGAGGCCUCACCAGAAGCCGAGCAGAUGCUAGCACCAUGCUACUUGUACAUCCUGCAGAAUCGGAGCCAAUUAAACCUCUUUUUCUUUAUAAAUCACUCGGUUUCAGAUACUUCUUUAUAGCAAUGCAAAACUAGCAGAGUCCAAUAGCUUAAUCCACCAAAAGAAAAUUUAACAGAGAAGCAAACACCACCAAAUAUAAAUCACUUGAGAGACUUUAUACUUUGUUUUUUUUGUUUGUUUUUUUGGUUUUUUGAGAUGGAGUCUUGCUCUGUCGCCCAGGCUGGAGUGCAAUGGCCCGAUCUCGGUACACUGCAACCUCUAUCUCCUGGGUUCAAGCUAUUCUCCUGCCGCAGCCUCCUGAAUAGCUGGAUUACAGGCACCCGCCACCACGACCAGCUAAUUUUUGUAUUUUUAGUAGAGACAGGGUUUCGCCACUUUGGUCAGGCUGGUCUCAAACUCUGACCUCAGGUGAUCCACCCGCCUUGGCCUCCCAAAGUGCUGGGAUUACAGGCGUGAGCCACAG
rnacentral:lncRNA from 1 species